UCAUCUUAGUGGCGGACGGGUGAGUAACGCGUGGGGAACCUGCCCUGUACAGGGGGAGUAACACUUAGAAAUAGGUGCUAAUACCGCAUAACGGGGGGAGCCGCAUGGCACCCCCUGAAAACUCCGGUGGUACAGGAUGGGCCCGCGUCUGAUUAGCUGGUUGGCAGGGUAACGGCCUACCAAGGCGACGAUCAGUAGCCGGCCUGAGAGGGCGGACGGCCACACUGGGACUGAGACACGGCCCAGACUCCUACGGAAGGCAGCAG
rnacentral:rRNA from 1 species